rnacentral:rRNA from 1 species
GACGAACGCUGGCGGCGUGCUUAACACAUGCAAGUCGAACGGAAAGGCCCUGCUCUUGUGGGGUGCUCGAGUGGCGAACGGGUGUGUAACACGUGUGUAUACUGCCCCUGACUUUGGGAUAACUUCAGGGGACUGGGGCUCAUACAGGAUAGGAGAUCCUGCUGCAUGGUGGGGGUUGGAGAGUUUCGGCGGUUGGGGCUGGACUCGCGGCUUCUCAGCUUGUUGGUGGGGUAGUGGCUUUCCAAGGGUUUGACGGGUAGCCGGCCUAAGCGGGGUACCGGCGACAUGGGGACUGAGGUACGGCCCAGACGCCAACGGGAGGCAGCGGUGGGGAGUAUGGCAGAACGGGCGGAAGCCUGAGGCAGCAGCGCCCCGUGCGGAAUGACGGCCUUCGGGUGGUAAACCGCUGUCGCCUGUGACGAAGCGGGAGUGACGGUAAUGGGUAAAGAAGCACCGGCUAACUACGUG